AUUCAACGAGACUUGAUGGGUUAUCUGUGGAAGGAUUUGAUGCGGGUGAAAUGGAGAGGAAAUGGAUUGAGCAUGGAGGAGUGGAGAGAGUAAGUAAUUAAGGGGGAGACAAAAGAAGGAGACGCAAAGAGAAAGCUGCCAAAAUUUUGAAACCCCUCUCUGUUUCUCUCUCUCUCUCUCUGGGAAUAGCCGAACAGGACAUGAAUACACAAUCCGAUACAUAUAGAGCAAUGUUGGGCAUUGGCAUUUGCAUGGAGACCGGCAAGUGUAGGUCACUACCUACAGUAACAAGUCAAUUGAUUGGCUCUGUUUGUUUGUAAUCCUGUUUUUCUCGUUUCUAAUUUCUGAUAGGACAGUAGGACACUGUCUUUACUCUCAUGUUAUGCUUCACCGACCUGAACCUUUGUCUUUCCUUCAAGUGUACAAAGACAAAAUAAAACCCAAAAUUUCCCACAUGGAUGUGGGUGGGUCACCUUAUCAAGGGCACCUUUGAUUCA